rnacentral:rRNA from 1 species
UGCCAGACUCCUACGGGAGGCAGCAGUGAGGAAUAUUGGUCAAUGGGCGGGAGCCUGAACCAGCCAAGUCGCGUGAAGGAAGAAGGUACUUAGUAUUGUAAACUUCUUUUGUCGGGGAACAAAGGCGGAGACGCGUCUCCGGAUGAGUGUACCCGAAGAAAAAGCAUCGGCUAACUCCGUGCCAGCAGCCGCGGUAAUACGGAGGAUGCGAGCGUUAUCCGGAUUUAUUGGGUUUAAAGGGUGCGCAGGCGGGAGAUCAAGUCAGCGGUAAAAUGUCGGGGCUCAACCCCGGCCGGCCGUUGAAACUGGGGGCCUUGAGUGGGCGAGAAGAAGGCGGAAUGCGUGGUGUAGCGGUGAAAUGCAUAGAUAUCACGCAGAACCCCGAUUGCGAAGGCAGCCUUCCGGCGCCCUACUGACGCUGAGGCACGAAAGUGCGGGGAUCGAACAGGAUUAGAUACCCCGGUACU